UCAAUAAGCGGAGGAAAAGAAACUAACAAGGAUUCCCCUAGUAACUGCGAGUGAAGCGGGAAAAGCUCAAAUUUAAAAUCUGGCGGUGGUUAGCCGUCCGAAUUGUAGCCUAGAGAAGUGUUGCCUGUGCUGAACCAUGUAUAAGUCUCCUGGGAUGGAGCGUCAGAGAGGGUGAGAAUCCCGUGUUUGACAUGGACUAGCAGUGCAUUGUGGUACGCUCUCAAAGAGUUGAGUUGUUUGGGAAUGCAGCUCUAAAUGGGUGGUAAAUUCCAUCUAAAGCUAAAUAUUGGCGAGAGACCGAUAGCGAACAAGUACCGUGAGGGAAAGAUGAAAAGAACUUUGGAAAGAGAGUUAAACAGUAUGUGAAAUUGUUGAAAGGGAAACGCUUGAAGUCAGUGGCAUUGGGUGGGGAUCAAUGCAGCUCUUUUGCUGGAUGUAAUUCCUAGUCGAUGGGCCAACAUGAGUUCUGACUGCUGGAGAAAGGCGAGGUGAAUGUGGCACUUUUAAGUGUGUUUAUAGCACCUGGUUGUAUGCAGUGGUUGGGACUGAGGAAAAGCAGCGCGCCACUUGGCAGGGUUUCGACCACAUUCGCGCUUAGGAUGUUGGCAAUAAUGGCUUUAAGCGACCCGUCUUGAAACAC
rnacentral:rRNA from 1 species